UGCGCAGGCGGGGCAAUAAGUCAGUGGUGAAAUCCUGCGGCUUAACCGUAGAACUGCCAUUGAUACUGUUGCCCUUGAGUAUAGUUGAGGUGGGCGGAAUAUGUAAUGUAGCGGCGAAAUGCAUAGAUAUUACAUAGAACACCAAUUGCGAAGGCAGCUCACUAAGCUAUCACUGACGCUGAGGCACGAAAGCGUGGGGAGCGAACAGGAUUAGAUACCCUGGUAGUCC
rnacentral:rRNA from 1 species